ACUGCUCAGUAACACGUGGACAACCUGCCCUUAGGUUGGGUAUAAACCCGGGAAACUGGGUAUAAUACCCGAUAGGUCUCGAUUGCUGGAAUGCAUCGAGAUUUAAAGCUCCGGCGCCUAAGGAUGGGUCUGCGGCCUAUCAGGUAGUAGUGGGUGUAGCGUACCUACUAGCCUACGACGGGUACGGGUUGUGAGAGCAAGAGCCCGGAGAUGGAUUCUGAGACACGAAUCCAGGCCCUACGGGGUGCAGCAGGCGCGAAAACUUUACAAUGCUGGCAACAGCGAUAAGGGAACCUCGAGUGCCAGGUUACAAAUCUGGCUGUCGAGAUGCCUAAAAAGCAUUUCAUAGCAAGGGCCGGGCAAGACCGGUGCCAGCCGCCGCGAUAACACCGGCGGCUCGAGUGGUAACCGUUAUUAUUGGGUCUAAAGGGUCUGUAGCCGGCCGGAUAAGUCUCUUGAGAAAUCUGGCAGCUUAACUGUCAGGCUUUCAGGAGAUACUGUCUGGCUCGAGGCCGGGAGAGGUGAGAGGUACUUCAGGGGUAGGGGUGAAAUCUUGUAAUCCUUGAAGGACCACCAGUGGCGAAGGCGUCUCACCAGAACGGACCUGACGGCAAGGGACGAAAGCUAGGGGCACGAACCGGAUUAGAUACCCGGGUAGUCCUAGCCGUAAACGAUACUCGCUAGGUGUCGGCCACGGUGCGACCGUUGUCGGUGCCGUAGGGAAGCCGUGAAGCGAGCCACCUGGGAAGUACGGCCGCAAGGCUGAAACUUAAAGGAAUUGGCGGGGGAGCAC
rnacentral:rRNA from 1 species